AUUGUUAGAGAAACGUACGAGAAAGUCUAAAGUAGAGGCUGCAGGUUUAGAGUCUUUUGAGCUAGCAGAUCCAAUUCCUAGAUACGAGAUGUGGAAGACAACUCGAACUAAGUCUGAUAGGUUGAUGAGUUCACAAUCUGCUCAAGUCAUUGCUAACAAAAUUAUAAGUACAAACACUAAACCCAAAAAUCAUAUUUCAUUACGAAUACUUUUAUGAUUAAACUUGAAUGUGUUUGUAGGAUUCCUUAG
rnacentral:lncRNA from 1 species